rnacentral:rRNA from 1 species
CUCCCUUCGGGGAGGGGACAGUGGCGCACGGGUGAGUAACACGUGGGUAAUUUACCUUUGGGUGGGGAACAACAGCCGGAAACGGCUGCUAAUACCGCAUAAUGCAGCGGCUCGACAUCGAGACAGUUGUUAAAGCGGGGGAUCGCAAGACCUCGCGCCUAAAGAGAAGCCCGCGGCAGAUUAGCUAGUUGGUAGGGUAAUGGCCUACCAAGGCGACGAUCUGUAACCGGCCUGAGAGGGCGGUCGGUCACACUGACACUGACAUACGGGUCAGCCUCCUACGGGAGGCAGCAGUCGGGAAUUUUGGGCAAUGGGCGAAAGCCUGACCCAGCAACGCCGCGUGAAGGAUGAAGCUUUUCGGAGUGUAAACUUCACAAGAAUGGGAAGAAUAAGUUUAGGAUAAUACCCUGAACGAUGACGGUACCAUUUGUAAGCUCCGGCUAACUCCGUGCCAGCAGCCGCGGUAAUACGGGGGGAGCAAGCGUUGUUCGGAUUUACUGGGCGUAAAGGGCGCGUAGGCGGCGCGACAAGUCACUUGUGAAAUCUCUGGGCUCAACCCAGAACGGUCAAGUGAUACUGUCGUGCUAGAGUGCGGAAGGGGCAACUGGAAUUCUUGGUGUAGCGGUGAAAUGCGUAGAUAUACGGAGGGACACCAGCGGCGAAGGCGGAUAGCUGGGGCAACACUGACGCUGAGACGCGAAAGCUAGG